UGCAGCUUCACCAUAAAUAGCCCCUCACCGCGUUCAGUCAAUAAGUAUUUAUCAAGCACUAACUUAAAAAAGAAAGAAAAAUAACACGAUUCUAGGUCCUGCCUCAUAGCUCUGAAUAUAGUAGGGAAAACACGCAUUAAACAACUAAUUCCAGGAAUGAUGAUUGAAUUACUGUUGUUACACAGGGGACCUAACCUCAUAUCGGGGAGAGAGUGAGGCUUCACUGAAGACCUGACCUAUGUACUGACACCAUAUGGAUGAAGAGGGAGGAGUUAGGGAAAAGAGGAUGGAGAAGUGAGGCAGAGAACAGAGACCCAGACCUAAGGCAGGGCAGAGCAAAAGCCAGGAAAGGAGAAGGGCCUUGAGACUUGCUGUGUUUGAAAAAUUACAAGAUCAGUGUGGCCAGGAGAAAGUGGAAUUAUGUGAGAUCUCCAGGUUUUAAAGGUGGAAAAAAAAGUACUGCAAAAAAGCUGUGGAUCCCUGCCUGAGAUCAAAAAUUUCACUAGAUUACUUAGGAUAGACAAAUAUGCCUGUGUAAAUCUGAAAC
rnacentral:lncRNA from 1 species